UCCUAAAUAAACCUAACUUUCUCUUUGGUUUUCUCUCACUCUCUCUCCUAUUUUCUCUCACUCUCCAUUUUCUCUAUUUUCCUCCAUAAACCCUAAAUCUGUUGCCGCCACCUUUCGCCAUUUUCUCUCACUCUCCCUUUUUCCAUUUUCUCCGUUUCUCAAGAAAUAGGCGUCAAGGUGAUUUCAUCAUUGACUGCUUCUCUAAGGUUUGAUGGUGCUCUCAUUGUUGAUGUAUUGGAAACUGAUUCCAUUCAGGUGGAGGUUCUGAGCUACUCAAAUUUUGAUGGUGAUUUGAUGGUGCUCUUAAUGUUGAUGCAUGGACUCUUUAAGUACAAAGAGAUGAAAAGAUUUGUUGGGAUAAAUAAAACUGAGCACACUGUAGUUCCAUUAAUAUGAACUCAUAUCCAUUGUUUAGCUAAGUGUGAGAUGUGGACAGAGCAUUAUGCUAGCAGCAAAGUUUAUGGACGACGCACUCUUCAACAAUGCUUACUAUGCUAAAGUUGGAAGACUAAGUACAUCAAAAUUAAAUAGAUUGGAAUUGAGCUUUUGGUUUGGUAUAGAUUUUAGACUUCAGAUACAUGCCUAAGCUCUCCUUACUUUGAAUCAGUCUUCACCGAGGUACUAGCCACUAAAAUGAACAAUAUUUAUGGUGAUAUUAUUGAAUGAGUUACUGAAAUAGUGCUCUUAGGAAAUGUCCUGCUUCUAUCUCAUUCAAAGUUUAACUUUUUUGCUACAUAUUGAAAGUAAGUAGUAUUGUAGGUAGAGUGUAAAUGGCACAUAUUCAAAAGAAAAAAAAAUUGAUGUCCGGAACCACUUUUAGUAUAUUACUAGAUUUCCACUUUUUGAAAAAAUAAUAUGUGAUUUGGAAUGGUUUAUAACAUUAAUACAACACUCUCGCUAAAUAAAACUUACUCUCAUUCUAGUAUGAUGCAUGAUGAUCAGACAUACAUGAAUUCCUUCCAAACCUUCUUCCUCUUUGGAUAACACAUUAACCUUGAUGACCACAUUAGGGUUUCCAUAAGGUUUAACCAAACUUUGGACUCAUGUCCAGAGAUUUCCCAUAUUAGGGCUUCACAUUUUUCCCACACGUUCACCUUGAAUGGCCGCAUUAGGGCUUCAUAAAGACUUUAUCAAAAUGUUGGACUUAUGUCCUAAGAAUAUGUCACAUUCAUUUACUUUAUAACAACAUUAUACAAUACAUAUCAUUAUAAUUAAAUAUUACCACAAGAUAGGUCUUUGCAUUAGCUUUCACCAUGAUCUAUAAUAUAAACCGCUAUGAAAUUUACAUGCAUGUCAUCACGGUCGUUUAUACCAAUCAUGGUGAAAAAUAUAACAUAUAUUUAAGCGAAAGUUCA